rnacentral:ncRNA from 1 species
GAAAAGACGAUGAGAAAGAGUAGUACAUUUGUAAACCGUGUUUAGAGAGUCUGUGGAUGGUGCAAACAGAAGAUGGAGCAAAUGGAAUGGACUUUUGAGUUAGCUUUAUGAACGUUAGUAGUAAAGUUCGAAUCCUUCACGUUACGGAGGCAAAGUGGUUGAGUAUUCAACAAACUGGGUGGUACCGCGGAUUUAAGCAUCAUUCGUCCCAUUA